UACGUAGGGUGCAAGCGUUGUCCGGAAUUAUUGGGCGUAAAGAGCUCGUAGGCGGUUUGUCGCGUCGGCUGUGAAAACCUGGGGCUCAACCCCGGGCCUGCAGCCGAUACGGGCAAACUAGAAUUCGGUAGGGGAGACUGGAAUUCCUGGUGUAGCGGUGAAAUGACGCAGAUAUCAGGAGGAACACCGGUGGCGAAGGCGGGUCUCUGGGCCGAUACUGACGCUGAGGAGCGAAAGCGUGGGGAGCGAACAGG
rnacentral:rRNA from 1 species